AUUGAACGCUGGCGGCAGGCUUAACACAUGCAAGUCGAACGAGUGGCGGACGGGUGAGUCAUGCUUGGGAAUCUAGCUUAUGGAGGGGGAUAACUACGGGAAACUGUAGCUAAUACCGCGUACCAUAGGAUGAGCCCAAGUGGGAUUAGGUAGUUGGGGAGGUAAAGGCUCACCAGGCCGACGAACGCUAGCUGGUCUGAGAGGAUGACCAGCCAAACUGGGACUUAGACACGGUCCAGACUCCUACGGUAGGCAGCAUUGGGUAAUAUGGCACGAUGGGCGCAAGCCUGAUGCAGCCAUGCCGCGUGUAUGAAGAAGGCCUGCGGGUUGUAAAGUACUUUCAGCGAGGAGGCGUUACUCGCAGAAGAAGCACCGGCUAACUCCGUGCCAGCAGCCGCGGUAAUAC
rnacentral:rRNA from 1 species